AAAAUCCGGGGGGCUGAGCUGAGGCGUGAUGACGAGGAACCACGGUUCCGAAGUGAUUAAUACCAAGCUUCCAGGAAAAGCCACUAAGCUUCAGUCUAGAGUUGACCGUACCGCAAACCGACACAGGUGGGCAGGAUGAAAAUUCUAAGGCGCUUGAGAGAACUCAGGAGAAGGAACUCGGCAAAUUAACACCGUAACUUCGGGAGAAGGUGUGCCCCGGUAGCGUGUAGAGACUUGCUCUCGAAGCGCGAUGGGGUUGCAGUGAAAUGGUGGCUGCGACUGUUUAGUAAAAACACAGCACUCUGCAAACACGAAAGUGGACGUAUAGGGUGUGACGCCUGCCCGGUGCCGGAAGGUUAAGUGAUGGGGUGCAAGCUCUUGAUCGAAGCCCCGGUAAACGGCGGCCGUAACAAUAACGGUCCUAAGGUAGCGAAAUUCCUUGUCGGGUAAGUUCCGACCUGCACGAAUGGCGUAACGAUGGCCACACUGUCUCCUCCUGGGACUCAGCGAAGUUGAAAUGUUUGUGAAGAUGCAAUCUACCCGCGGCUAGACGGAAAGACCCCAUGAACCUUUACUGUAGCUUUGCAUUGGACUUUGAACCGGUUUGUGUAGGAUAGGUGGGAGACUGUGAAGCCGGGACGCUAGUUUCGGUGGAGUCAACCUUGAAAUACCACCCUGAUUUGUUUGAGGUUCUAACCUUGGUCCGUGAAUCCGGAUCGGGGACCGUGCAUGGUAGGCAGUUUGACUGGGGCGGUCUCCUCCCAAAAGGUAACGGAGGAGUACGAAGGUACGCUUAGGGCGGUCGGACAUCGCCCACAAAGUGCAAUGGCAAAAGCGUGCUUGACUGCGAGACCCACAAGUCGAGCAGGUACGAAAGUAGGUCAUAGUGAUCCGGUGGUUCUGUAUGGAAGGGCCAUCGCUCAACGGAUAAAAGGUACUCUGGGGAUAACAGGCUAAUUCCUCCCAAGAGUUCAUAUCGACGGGGGAGUUUGGCACCUCGAUGUCGGCUCAUCACAUCCUGGGGCUGUAGUCGGUCCCAAGGGUAUGGCUGUUUGCCAUUUAAAGUGGUACGCGAGCUGGGUUUAAAACGUCGUGAGACAGUUUGGUCCCUAUCUGCCGUGGGCGCUGGAAAUUUGAAGGGGGCUGCUCCUAGUACGAGAGGACCGGAGUGGACGAACCUCUGGUGUACCGGUUAUGACGCCAGUCGUAUCGCCGGGUAGCUAAGUUCGGAAGAGAUAAACGCUGAAAGCAUCUAAGCGUGAAACUCGCCUUAAGAUAAGAUUUCCCGGAGUCUUGAACUCCCUGAAGGGUCGCCGAAGACCACGACGUUGAUAGGUCAGGUGUGGAAGCGCAGCAAUGCGUUAAGCUAACUGAUACUAAUUGCCCGUGCGGCUUGAUCCC
rnacentral:rRNA from 1 species